rnacentral:lncRNA from 1 species
UAAGAAAUUGCCUCAGCCACCCCAACCUUCAGCAAACACCACCCUGAUUAGUCAUCAGCCGUCAGCAUCGAGAAUGCAAUUCAUGCUCUUGACCUCAUAUGGGGAAACAAACCCAGGAUUAAGAAGGAGAUUUUGAAACACAUGAACAGCUAUACUGCCUAUAGCACUUUGGCUGAGGAGAAGUUGAAUCUUUGAGAUCGAUUGUAGACGAGAGGACAGAGCACUAACCCGUGGUCUGAAAAGGAAAAAUAUGGAAGAAGACCUUGGGACUUCUCUUUGCCAGAAAGC